GGGUAUAUAAGGCUUACUGAAUAACGUAUUGUUCAACAGUAAGGCAGCAAACUUGGCAGACGCUAAAUUGUUAAAUUACAUUUUCUUCGUGUUGAAAUACUUGUUCGAUAAGUCGGCAAACAUGGCGUUAAAUGCGUGCAUUUUGUUAGUAAGUAUUGUUCUCCUGACAGUCUUUUGUCUUCCUACAGCACUCGCCGGUGGUGGCAAUUGCUGGGCGGCACCAAUCGUUUAUGGACCCAAGUGCAGUUCUGACACAUCUAUAUGGGGAAGACGCGGCCACAAAAUUCGGUAUUCAGUCAGCGUAAUCGGGGACACACUAAUAUGUUGCAAGGCAUUCUAUGGCAAAGGUAAUAACUACGGGCUGCAUGAUGUCGGAUGUGGCCACGGGAGUUGGAGUACCACUAGUUUGAACUGGGGCAAUGCUAUUGCUACACCACAAAUGAAAUGUAAAGGCAUUCCUUUGGGAUCUGGAUACUCAUUUGAUCACUGAUAGCUGCAUUUUACAAACAUACAAUAACUAUUGCAAUACUUGUAAACGAUAAACUUGACUAAUUGUUGUUAUGGAUGCGUUUUAUGAAAAGAACAUUUCUUAUUCAUUCUUUGUGUGUUUGUCUUCCGAAACUGUCCAAGUUACCAUCACGGGCGGGCACCUGAUUAGAACCACCGACCACCUUAUGUAAACAAACAAGGAUAAAUAUCCAACAGGGAAUGUCACGUUCCAAAAACAAGCCGAAUGGCGUCCUCACAUUAAAGAAUUCUACAAAUCAAGCGAGAUUUCGAACCCACAAGGAGGGGGACAAGUGAUUCAGAGUCAGCGGUUUUAACCACUUUUUCACGGAGGUCUAUGCAUACUGAGCUUGCCAAUAAAACAUCUUAAGGGAAGGGCCGUUUACUAAUGUUGGCAGAACUUGUGGCCCGACCCUAUUGCUAUAAUUCAAUUGACUGUAAAUAUCUAUAUGUUGCUGUAAUUAUAUAUAUACAUGUAUUAUAAGCAAUAAAAUAUGUUUAAACUAAUGAAACAUCUUAAAGAAAUCAUAAUUUUCAUUUGAUUUAACAUCUUUACGACUCAGUAUUAUGAUAAUGCGAAAACAUAUUUUACACAAAUGGGAGACAAUUUUACAUGCUAAGUAUACAUCUCACAGUUUACACUUUCAACAAUUAGAAUCCUUGUGAGAUUUAACUACUGAAAAAGAAACACUUACUAGUAUUUGGAUAUAAAGUAUCACAAUAACGGUUACCAUUUAAAAUGUAAAGUAAAACCGCAACAAAAGUCACUUCUAGAAUA